GACGAACGCUGGCGGCGUGCUUAACACAUGCAAGUCGAACGGAAAGGCCCUGCUUUUGUGGGGCGCUCGAGUGGCGAACGGGUGAGUAACACGUGAGUAACCUGCCCUUGACUUAGGGAUAACUUAAGGAAACUGGGGCUAAUACCGGAUAGGAGCUCCUGCUGCAUGGUGGGGGUUGGUAAGUUUCGGCGGUUGGGGAUGGACUGGCUGCUUAUCAGCUUGUUGGUGGGGUAGGUGCUUACCAAAGCUGCGACGGGUAGCCGGCCUGAGAGGGGGGCCGGCCACAUUAGGACGGAGGUACGGCCCAGACUCGAAUGGGACGCAACGGUGGAGAGUAUUACACAGGAGGCGGGAGCCAGGUGUGACAACGCCGCGUGCGGGAAGACGGGAUGCGGGUUGUGAACCAAUGUCGCCUGAGACGAGACGUGAGUGACGGUAAUGGGUAAAGAAGCACCGGCUAACUACGUG
rnacentral:rRNA from 1 species